rnacentral:rRNA from 1 species
UACAGAGGUCUCAAGCGUUGUUCGGAUUCAUUGGGCGUAAAGGGUGCGUAGGCGGCGCGGUAAGUCGGGUGUGAAAUCUCGGAGCUUAACUCCGAAACUGCAUUCGAUACUGCCGUGCUUGAGGACUGGAGAGGAGACUGGAAUUUACGGUGUAGCGGUGAAAUGCGUAGAUAUCUGGAGGAACACCGGUGGCGAAGGCGGCAUCCUGGACCGGUAUUGACGCUGAGGCGCGAAAGCCAGGGGAGCAAACGGG